rnacentral:lncRNA from 1 species
CAGACCGAGGCAAAGAGGCAGUCCUGAAACAAGCAAAACCAGGGAGCUGGACAGGGGACAGAUUGGAUUUGUCUUCAGUGUGGAAGGGAUUGUCACUCUCGAAUUGGCCUUCUCAGCCACACAAGACACUGUUCCAAGACCUCCAUACAGAGCACGAUACCAUAGUCUCUCGAGACUGAAGGAUGCCUACACAUGCAAGGAUGCCCUGUGGAUUUCAUUUGGGUCCCGUUUUAAGUGUACCAACGUGAUUUCCACCUCCUAGGGUGAACACAUGGAUCAGAGCACAGUAAUCCUUAGGGUUUUGCACUCCUAUAGUUCUCAGCUUUAAAAAAUGCCACAACGCUAGGGUAUUAAACUGCUACUUUUCACAUUCUUCUUCAUCUUCUUUUUAAAUUGCCAGUUCACACAUAAAUAGGAUAGCCUGGACUCAGGACUGAGACAAGGCAGUUUUCUGCUUGAGGUGGAGCAGCGCAUCAUGUCCCCCCCCAUGCCUCUUAAAGUGCAAUUUGGCUGAAGGGAUCCAAGUUAUUUUGGUACAUGAGACAGAAAAAUCACAACCAGGACUCCUUCCCCUUCAUGGCAGAAUAAAUAGAAUAAUGGCAUAUUAAAUGACUAUUUACUGACCUUUCAGGGCACUCAAAACCUGCUGACAGAGCCCCCUCAAUGGGGUGAGUGCUUGGGAUGCAUCCGCAGUGAAUGUACGGACAAAUAUAUCUGAGACUGAGGUGCGUUGGGAGUGGCAGAUUUAACAAGGGAAUGUCAGACAGCAGAACCAAGCGGCCAGGUUGAGAGUGGAGUUGAAUGCGCCCGUGCACACCCAGGGUCCAGAUGCAGGAAGCGGUUGAAGACAGCAGGUCAGAUGGUGAAAGGCCUUCAACCAGCCAAGAUGCAGCCACUACUCAAACAUCAGGGUCAAUUUACAAUUUCUCAGUACAAUACCGAACCUGAAAGCAGCUAGCAAGUCUGGAGACUGCCAGUGUGCCACGAAAGGUCAGCUCCCAUUAGAGGUAUUUAUUUAAUUUCGAAGCCAAAAUAGCAAUUGCAUUUAUGCGAUUUAAAAAGAAGAUUAAUUCCUCUGAUCUACAGGAGAGAAAAGGUUACAUAUUAAUUGUCACAGCCAUUUAUUUAUAUGGAUCAUCUCACAUUUCAAUAGUUAAUCUGUAUAGGAUUUAUGGGUAAAUGAUUUUGCCAGUGUGUUUUGGCCAAGAAAGAAGUAAACACAUCCCUCCCCCACCCCCCAACAUAGCUCCUCAU